rnacentral:snoRNA from 1 species
GGGCUGAUGAUGAUAAUACUAUAAUCUUAGCGGAUUUCAGUGAGACCAAUUCGUCUAUGAACUGAUUUGUUACACACACUGAAGCCU